rnacentral:rRNA from 1 species
AAUUGGAGGGCAAGUCUGGUGCCAGCAGCCGCGGUAAUUCCAGCUCCAAUAGCGUAUAUUAAAGUUGUUGCAGUUAAAAAGCUCGUAGUUGAAUUUCGGGAUUGACGUGAUGGUCGUGCCUUACGGGGUAUGAACUGUUGCUGUUGAUUUCUCACCUUCUGGAGAAACUUGAUGUCCUUAAUUGGGUGUCUUGCGGAUCCAGGACCUUUACCUUGAAAAAAUUAGAGUGUUUAAAGCAGGCAUUUUGCUCGAAUACAUUAGCAUGGAAUAAUAGAAUAGGACGGCAUGGUUCUAUUUUGUUGGUUUCUAGGAUCACCGUAAUGAUUAAUAGGGAUAGUUGGGGGCAUUAGUAUUCAAUUGUCAGAGGUGAAAUUCUUGGAUUUAUUGAAGACUAACUACUGCGAAAGCACUUGCCAAGGAUGUUUUCAUUAAUCAAGAACGAAAGUUAGGGGAUCGAAGACGAUCAGAUACCGUCGUAGUCUUAACCAUAAACUAUGCCGACUAGGAAUCAGACGAUGUUAAUUUUUUAAUGACUUGUUUGGCACCUUACGGGAAACCAAAGUGU